rnacentral:lncRNA from 1 species
UUUAUGAUUCCAUUAUGCAUGAAAGUGCGUGAAGUUAUUGUCGUGUAAGUUCUGCAGCCAAUCACAAAUUAUAUAUAUGUAUAUUAACUUAUGCUUCAAAUAAAAUAAAAACUAUACUUUAUUUCUUCACUUAGGAAAAUAAAACAAAGUAUAUUUUAUUGAAUACCGAUCUGUAUAAACUAUAUUCUUAAUUUUUUAAAUUACUACUAGUACGCUCAGUAUCAAUAUCAAAGCCACUUAUGUUUUUCUGGGUGUCUAACCUAUAUAUGAAUCUCUAGUCUCUUAACUUAUGGUUGAAAUUCCCUUGUUUCAUUGUUUGAUCAUAAAUUUGGAUUUAGUUGUUAAACCAAUACGGAGGUUUGGAGAGGCACAUUAACUAACAGUGAUGACAGAUUUUGCAUUACAUGCAAAUGGGCACACACUAAAAUUGAUUUUUUAAAUAUCGAUUAAAACUUCAAGUUCUACGUGAGUUUGGUAACGUUUUAAAAUAAUUUUUUUCUGAAGACAUACUAAAACAAUAAUUAGUCAAAUAAAAAAUUCUCACACUAAUAAAUUUAUUAAAUUAUUACAUGUUAAUGUUAGUCAAAUACAUUUUUAAUUUUAUUUGACAAUUAAUAAAUUCUAAUUACAACAACUAUUUAGAUGGGUUAUUUUAUUUGACAAUUAAUAAAUUCUAAUUACAACAACUAUUUAGAUGGGUUGUGUUUGUGAUCUUAAUUAAAAUAAAUUUAAAAUUAUGAUUUUAACUUACAUUUUUUGUUUCUAGGUUAAUGACCUUUAUGAAACUAUUUGAAACAAAACUUUAACAAUUUACAUCUCAAACUAACGAUAAGAAUAUUUUUUUAACUGUUUUCCAGAGUUUAAGGAUAUUUUUUAAAACUUUUAAAAGUUUAAGGUUUUUGAUGCAAACUAGUAAGGGAUAUAUUUUUUUUUAAUUUAACUUUUUUAAAGUUAAGAAUGGUAGAAAAAAAAUGAGGUGUCGAAUGAAUGGAUGACUAAAAAAUUAGAGAAAAAAAUGUGGAAUGAACCUUUUAAAAAAAUAUCGUUUAAAAGUCGAAUAACUUUUUGGUGACGUCAAAUUGGAGUGGAACUAUCAAAAUGCACUUGAAAAAGCAGUCUCGUCUCGUCUCGUCUCGCUUGUUCAUGUCUCUUCCAUCUCAAUCUCUUUCAUCUCACUGGUCUCAUUCUUUCUCGUCUCGUUCAAUCUCUUCAGUCGUACGUUUUUUGUGUUGUUUCGAUCUUGUUGGUGUCACUCCCGCUCAUCUCGAUCGUUCUGUCUUAUUGGUGUCAUUCAAUCUCACUCUCAUUUUGGUUGGCUAUGUCGUUCUCGCCCAUCAUCAAUGGUUGUUGCCUUGGUGUUAGAGAAUAAGUUGAAGAGGAAGAAGAAGAUGCCAGAGAAGAAGAGAAAAAACAUGUGGAAGUCGUAGAAGAAGAGAACAAACACGUGGAAGUUGUAGAAGAAGAAGAAAAUUGUAAGAAGAUGGGAGAAAACUUGUGCGACACUUGGGAGGAAAGAUGAAAAAAAAAACCCUAAAUCAACCUUGAAGGUAAACGUUAUAAUUUCAUGCAUUUCAUGAUAUCAUCAAAAGACCCUUUAACAUAUUUUUUAAAAAUUGAAUCAUUUUCCAUUUUCAACCUAUAAAAUUUGUCACAGUUAUUUAUAAUAAUUAUUCUUUUUAAUAAAUUAAUGAUUAAUGUUUUAGAUUAAGUCGAUCUUAGUUUUAUUCUAUAUUUACAACUUUUAAACUACGAUUUAUAAUUUCUGUUUCAUGAAAUUAAUCUUUUAUAGUAAAAGUAAAUUAAUUAUGAUGUUUAGUUUCUAAUUUGGAGACUUUCCCACUAUAGUUAAGCCCACAAACUCCAAUGAAGACCAUCAAAUGUGACCCUCAUUUCAUCUAACUUAUACUCUUGAUUUGGAAAUUCUUAGUUAAAAUUUUCUAUGUAAAUCUACCUGCAUUUACUCUAAUUUAGGAUUGAAAUUUUGAAAAGUUUGUCAAAUAUUUUAAAAUCAAUCUAUUAGUGAAUUUCAAAUAUAAUUGUAAUAAAAUGCCUAAAUUGAUUCGUCUAUAAGAAUUUAUUUAACACAAAUAAAGUUUUACAUAAUAGAUUGAAGAAGAAAGUUUAAAUUAUAAAUUUAUAAUUUAAAUCGACACAGUUUAAAUUUUAGAUUAAAUUAAUCAAAUUACAAAAAUUUACGGAUAUAAAGGGAUAUUUGUCAAAAUAUUAAUAGGAAAAUAAGUAAAUUUACAAAUAUCCAAUCACAAACUGUAUGAGCAAUGUAGAUAGUCUAAUUCAGAUUUCCUUGCUCAAGAACAUAGUUAAAAUAAUAUAAUUUAAAUUUUUACUUAAAUUGGCUUAAUUUAGCUAUAUUUAUUUCAUCAAUCAUGUAUAUAAGCUAAGUAAAAUGAAGAUUUUUGUCGUAAAUAAUUAUUUUGUUUUACACAUCAUUUCUAAUUUCUAACUCAAGUGACAACUAAUUAGUGAAAAUAGUACUUACGUAAACCGUUGCAAUGAUAUACUAAGUAAGUAAACGUUUAUUUACAAUCAACGAGGUCCUACAAAAUCAAAGAUCAAUAGAUCUUGUCUAAUCAAACGAUCUAGUCUACGCAAUACUUUGUCAACAUAUUUCAAUUAUUAAAAAAAUUGUAACCAUGCAUCUUAAAUUAGGAUUCUUUUAUUUUUCUUUUUAUCAAUAUAUAUGUUCGUAUGAGAUCAAAUGCAGUAGAUCCCAACCUCCAGAAGAGACUAUAGAUGGAGAUAUCAAUUAAGACAAAAGAACCAAUCAAUUUUUUGUACCAAAUAAGUUUAACCUACCAUGUGGUUCCUCUAAUAAAAUCUCAAAUCAUUUCCCCUUCUAACACAUUUCUCAUGAUUUCACCAAAUGAUCAGGUGUGACACCAUGUGACACCACAAUAAUUCCUUUUCUAAAAUUAAUUAAUUGUAUUUAAUACUUAUUCUUAAUCUCAAAACAAAAUAAGUGACGACACUUGGUACUAUCAGUUAUGUAUAUAUGAAUGUGCUUUUAACAUAAAUAUAUAGAUAGUUCUAUACUUCCAUGCAACCUUUAAUUAAAAUAUUGAAGUUUCUAUUCUGUAACAAGUUAUAGAAAUGGAAAUUUUAAGAAAAUUUAUGAACAUAAAUGAAAAUUGUUAAUGAUUUGAAAGAAAAUUAGCUAGCUAGUUUAACUAAAUUAUCAAUGGUAGCUAGAUAGUUGAACUAGACUAUAAAUUGACAACUUAAUUUUUUUUUUUUUUUUUUACAAACCAACAAAUAUUUAGAUAUAUUAUAAAUGUUCGCAUAAUUUUCGAUGUAAUAGAAGAUAUUUCAUAAAGAAGUUAAAAAAUACUAAAAGUUUAAUUUAUAUGUACUAUAAAUAUACAAGACACAGAUAGAAAAGGUAUAAUACAUUUCUUUCCUAAUAAAAUGGUAGAAUAAAAAAAUUUGCCCAAAUGAUCUAAAAUCAGUUAAAGACCGUACCCAUAAAGUAGCCAAUAAGAAAUGCCCAAGUGGAACACCAUGACGUGAGCUACGUGUAAUGGAAAAACAACAAAUAUUCAAAAGUUAUUUUUACUUCUGGUUGGGUGAAUAAUUUAGAAAAGGAUAUGGUAUAAAUCAAACUCAUGUUGAACUAUAAAAACUGAGUUAUAUAUUCUAUUGUAAAUCAAUACCAUGAUGUUUCUUGAUUUAAAUAAUUUAUACAUUGAGAUUUUAUCAUGCUAUCUUAAUUAGACGUCAACUUAAAUAUAUAAUUUUAAUUAAUUAAAUCAUCAACCCUAAAAUUAUUAGAUUUUGACAUUUUGUUGAACUCAUUAAUAAUUUGGCAAUUAAAAGAAAAAAGAAAAAUAUUCUACUUAGUCAAAACUCAUAAUCAAUUAAUUGAAACCCAUUUGAAUUUCAUUAUUUUUUUCCCCCAAACUAAAGUGGAAACACAAUCAACCAAUUUUAAAAUUUCAUACAUACCUCUUUCUAUAACAUGAAAAGGAAAGCUUUGGUAUUGAUAACUGUCAACAUCUAGUAAUUAUGAACCAAUGGUAAGGACAUCAAAUAUUACCAAAGAAUAAUAAUUUAACCUUAAAAGUCUAAUAUUAUAGCAAUCUUCUAUUAAACCCCAUAUUUCUCAGGCACAUUUUAUUGUGUCAUUUUCCAAAACAUUUUCAACCUAAUUGAUUUAUAAAAUUGAAAAUUUAAUCCCACCUUGACUUCCCUAAGUCCCAUGCAAUAAAGUAAUAUGUUACAUUUUUGUUUCUCAUAUUGUUGCAUUAAUUAUGUAAUCUUUCAUUGUUAUAUAUUUUUAGUCCAAUGUCUGAAAAUAACAUAUACUAUCAUUAACGUUUUAUUAUAUGGGUAAGCAUAGACUGGUUCCUAGUGAAUAGUCACAAUAAAUAGUUCAAUUUAAUUGGACCAAGUGUUUGAUUCUUGUUAUGUCUCAUUGUGAAUAUUAAUAAAAUUGUAUUUGAUUUCAAUAAUUUUUUUAAUUACACAUUUGUCUUUUUUAUUUGUCUUUAGUUUGUAACAAUUAAUUUUGAAAUGGAAAGGCUUUGUAUCUUUGACUAUUGUUAAUUAGUUUAGGAAAUUUAACCUUUUUUUUAAGUUAACAGAAAUUGAAACCAUUCAUUUGAACCACAAUUUUAUUUUCUUUCAUUUUUGGACACAUUUUAUUGGACUUUUUUCCAUUAAGGAAAUAAUUUUGUAAAUUUGAUGAUUAAAGUACACGUUUAAGUUCAAAAUAUUUAAAAUAGAUAUGUUUAUUUAUUAUAUUUUGAAAGAUUGAAUUGACU